CCUACGGGUGGCAGCAGUGAGGAAUAUUGGUCAAUGGGCGCGAGCCUGAACCAGCCAAGUCGCGUGAGGGAAGACGGUCCUAUGGAUUGUAAACCUCUUUUGUCGGGGAGCAAAAGACGCCACGCGUGGCGUUCCGAGAGUACCCGAAGAAAAAGCAUCGGCUAACUCCGUGCCAGCAGCCGCGGUAAUCCGGAGGAUGCGAGCGUUAUCCGGAUUUAUUGGGUUAAACGGGUGCGCAGGCGGAAUAUCAAGUCAGCGGUAAAAUUGAGAGGCUCAACCUCUUCGAGCCGUUGAAACUGGUUGUCUUGAGUGAGCGAGAAGUAUGCGGAAUGCGUGGUGUAGCGGUGAAAUGCAUAGAUAUCACGCAGAACUCCGAUUGCGAAGGCAGCAUACCGGCGCUCAACUGACGCUCAUGCACGAAAGUGUGGGUAUCGAACAGGAUUAGAUACCCUGGUAGUC
rnacentral:rRNA from 1 species